UUACACAUGCGAGUAUCCACGAGCCAGUGAGGAUGCCCUUUAUAAUCGAUUCCGAUGAAAAGGAGCGGGUAUCAAGUUCACACAAAAGUAGCUCAUCACACCUUGUAGAACCACGCCCCCACGGGUAACAGCAGUGAUAAAAAUUAAGCUAUGAACGAAAGUUUGACUUAGUCAUGCAAUACAGUGAGGGUUGGUAAAUCUCGUGCCAGCCACCGCGGUCAUACGAUUAACCCGAAUUAAUAAACAAUCGGCGUAAAGAAUGUUUAAGAAUAUAGCAAAACUAAGAUUAAAUCUUGUCUAUGUCGUAAAAAAUUAUAGAUAAGACGAAACUCAAUAAACGCAGGUAAUCUUAUAAUAUCUGAACACAUGACAGCUUGGGCACAAAGCUAAGCCGGAAACACAAAAUAUUAAUAGAACGAAAAGUUUCGCCAGAGACUACUACGCACGGCUAAAAACUCAAAGGACUUGGCGGUGCUUCACACCCACCUAGAGGAGCCUGUUCUGUAAUCGAUAAACCCCGAUAAACCUCACCACUUUUUGCUAAUUCAGCCUAUAUACCGCCAUCUUCAGCGAACCUUAACAAAGUAAAAAAGUGAGCACAAUCACAAACAUAAAGACGUUAGGUCAAGGUGUAGCCAAUAAAGUGGAAAGUAAUGGGCUACAUUUUCUUGACAAAGAACAUUUAAACGAAAGCUAUUAUGAAAUUAAAUAGCAAAGGAGGAUUUAGCAGUAAAUUAAGAAUAGUAGUAGCUU
rnacentral:rRNA from 1 species